rnacentral:rRNA from 1 species
CCUACGGGGGGCAGCAGUAGGGAAUAUUGCUCAAUGGGGGAAACCCUGAAGCAGCAACGCCGCGUGGAGGAUGAAGGUUUUCGGAUUGUAAACUCCUUUUGUUAGAGAAGAUAAUGACGGUAUCUAACGAAUAAGCACCGGCUAACUCCGUGCCAGCAGCCGCGGUAAUACGGAGGGUGCAAGCGUUACUCGGAAUCACUGGGCGGAAAGAGCGCGUAGGCGGGAUAGCAAGUCAGAUGUGAAAUCCUAUGGCUUAACCAUAGAACUGCAUUUGAAACUGUUAUUCUAGAGUAUGGGAGAGGUAGGUGGAAUUCUUGGUGUAGGGGUAAAAUCCGUAGAGAUCAAGAGGAAUACUCAUUGCGAAGGCGGCCUGCUAGAACAUAACUGACGCUGAUGCGCGAAAGCGUGGGGAGCAAACAGGAUUAGAUACCCCAGUAGUC